AUGCAAAUCCAGGAGGAAACAAACUCCCGGUUACAAUUUCCUGACCGUCACCACCUUCCCAUGGCAGCCACGUGCCGGGAAGACCCCUGCGUUUCUCAAGUCGCCCCCCCCGGCCAGGAAAUGCCUCUUAGAGAUGUCGUCCUUACAGCUACCUGCCAUUCAUUGAUUUGUUCAUUCAUUCCUUCCUCGCUCUGUCCGGGCCCUGCACCGUGUGGCCUGGGUGUAGGGAAGGAGGCAGCUCCGCCUGUGGAGAUGAGGACCCCACCCCGUCUAGUGCCUGCUGGAGGUGUCCAGGUGCCCUGCCGAGAUGGCCGCUUUCCCCUGGGAAAGGAGCAGCUGCCUGGCCCGGGAACAAAUCAAAGGUCUGAAAAAUGAGCUUUUCCUCCCUAAUGUGUCAGUUCAGACAGUUUGCGAAUUUGUAGAUUUCUGAGAAUGGAACUAACUGGCGCCUUUGUUCGUGCAGCCGAGGCUCACUGCCCACAAUGGGCAGUGGGUCAGCGGGCUCCCCAGGCCAGUGUGUGGCCCAGCCUGGCCCCUCAGGACAGUCACCUUGAAGGAGACCAGCAUCCCAGACCCACUUGGGGCCCUGCCAGGAGUCUGCGUGGAGAUAACAGAGAUCAGCCCAGCCCUCGCGACAGCACCUCGGCAUCCUGGAGUGCUUUCUCCGGAGGCAGCGGCCCUGGGGGGCGGGCGGCCCGGGAGGCAGGUAUGGCCCCGGCACUGCGGCUGUGCGGUUCCCUUCGCUGAAAACCACCUCGUAUUCUGUGCGCGCUGACAGGCAUCUGUCAGAGGGUCCUGUCGCCUGCUCUGUGGUGUUCGGUGAGUCUGCAGAUUUGCUGUGACACAGCAAGCACACGGCUGGGGGGCCUGGGCUGCCCCCACCGCCCCACACUGCUCUUUACCUCCCUGGCAGCCGCGUGCCGAGCCUAGGAUCCGGGCUGGGGGACGCGGCUGGCGUCUCGGGGGCUGGCUUUCGCCGAGGAGCUGUGAGCCUAAUUUCAGCCGCACGCAGGCGACUGUCUCCUGGCCGGCGCCUUGCCAGAGGCAGACGGGUCUAGCCUGGACAGGAGGGGGUGAUGGUGAGGUCUGGGCCAGGGUCGGUGCUGUGAGCCUGUGCCUGUGGGACAGUUAUUUCUAGAAAGAGGAACGGGGCUGAGAUGCUGAGCCAGCGUCACUCUGGGGAGCAGGGGGCCUCUGCACGCGUGUGCAUGUGUGUGCAGGUGUGUUUGAGGGGGCAGGGUCCCCAAGUGUUUGGGGCUGGGAAGGCGGCUACGCUGCAAGCAGCCAGCCGUCCCGCACAGACCCGCUUUGGAACACGGAGCUGUGGGUCCUUGGCAGAAUCCCCGAGUAUUUCUGUGCCUUGGUUUCCUGAUAUUAAAAAAAAAAAAAAAAAAGAAAGAAAAGAGAAAAGAAACCAUAGUCCCUGUCACACAGGGCUGUCGAGAUCUCAGUGAGAAAAUCGCACACAAAAGUCGUCAGCGCCGUAGCCAGAGCGGAGCGCCCGGCAGCCGUGGCUGCUGCCCCUUCGCCGCGCGGAGGGCUCCAGCCCCUUCCCA
rnacentral:lncRNA from 1 species